UGGAGUGGUAGUGUAUUGGACUACCAUGGCUUUUUCGGGUAACGGAGAAUUAGGGUUCGAUUCCGGAGAAAGAGCCUGAGAAACGGYUAUUACAUYUAAGGACGGCAGCAKGGGCGUAAAUUACCCAAUCUUAACUUAAGGAGGUAGUGACAAGAAACAUUGACAUGGGAGAAAUCCAAGAUSGGAAWGGGCUUAAUUCAAAUCCCUAAGUGAGUAACCAUUGGAGGGCAAGUCCGGUGCCAGCAKCCGCGGUAAUUCCAUCUSCAAYAGCGUAUAUUAAAGUUGUUGCAGUUAAAAAGCUCGUAGUUGGAUAUCUGGAGUGCCUCCUUUGGACAUUAGUCCAGAGUCUGGUAUUUCCAUCYUUCUGUUAACUUACGUUACCGMGAGGUCGCGUGAGGGCUCAGAUAUUUUUCCUUGAGAAAAUUAGAGUGUUUCAGGCAGGCAAGGCCAGAWUACUWCAGCAUGGAAUAAUAGAAYWGWCGCAUCUYKGWGGUYGSCCAGAGAAGUGUAAUGAUUAAUAGGAACAGUUGGGGGCAUUAGUAUUUAAUUGUCAGAGGUGAAAUUCUUGGAUUUGUAAAAGACUAACUAAAGCUGAAAKCAUGGAMCAAGGAUGU
rnacentral:rRNA from 1 species